ACACUCAAGCCACAAACUCUCAUAGUUAUAAAAUACAAGACAAUAGAAAUGGGGCCUGAAUCUCAUUACAUGAAAUCAAGGGAUUAAGGGUCCUUGAAGAGUACCAUUUCUACACAUAGCCAAGCCCUGCUCACACUUCAUGCUCAUGAUGACUGAGGACUCUGAAGUCAGACGGCUUGGAUUUCCUGGCAAAUGAGUAGAGCUCAGCCCUGCCAGAUCUGAAUUUGGAGAGCUACCAGAAGAUAGGUGGUGGGGUCAGUUCUGAGGAUCCUUCAAAAAGAAGCUACUAAAGAAAAUACACCAAGGAAAAAAAAGACAUAAAGCCCAGGAAAAAAGGUGAGCCAAAAGCAGAUGUCAAGGAAGUUUCCAAGAUGGUGGUGAAGAUUCAGGAUAGCAUCUGUAUAAAUGGUCGAAGGAGUGAUGAUCAAAACUGGAGCAAGAGAUGGAAAGUUCCAGGGGUCACAAACACAAAAAUCUGGAAACUUAUGGAAUACAAUUGAUACUGCUGCUGCU
rnacentral:lncRNA from 1 species